CUGUGCCGGGUGGAGAUUAUAACAGAACAUGGCCAAGAUGUUCAAAUGUUCAUAAAUGACCAGCAUGGUCGAAUAAUAAUAAGGCAGAACAGUUGAAACUGGAGCAGCAGCACAGUCAGGUGGAAGUUGAAACUGGAGCAGCAGCAUGGCCAGGUGGACUAGGGACAGCAAGGAGUCAUCAUGUCAGGUAGUCCUGGGGCAUGGUCCUAGGGCUCAGGUCCUCCGAGAGAGAGAAAGAAAGAGAAGGAGAGAAUUAGAGAACGCACACUUAGAUUCACACAGGACAC
ensembl:lncRNA